GUGACGUUUCUUUUGGCGUUCAUGGCACUGUACACUUGUUGAUUAAAUUGUUACCAUUCGAUGAAUAAGCAACGGAAAAUUAAACAGAAAUUAUGCAAUUGUAGGUAAGAUGAUUCUUCGCAAAUGUGCAAAAUUUGACUUGGAUCUUACUAAAAUUAAAUUCAUGAAAAUUCUUUAUGCUACACUA